UUUGAAAAGAUUGUGGAGUGCCGGAAAUAUAUAUUUUUUUCAAACCCAAAUCAUGUUUGACGAUACACAGAAAGAGGAGGAGACAAGGAUUUCAUCAUCUCAUCAUGGCCUAGUUACAUCAGAGUGGUAUUACUCUUCUCUCACUGAUCUCACAGUAGCAGACAUGGAACCCUGGCUGAGGAAUUUACUGAUUCUUGCUGCAUUUUGUUAUGAAUGCAGAGGAGAAGACUCAGUCAUUCAGCCACCAGGAGAUGUGAUCGCUACUGAAGAAGGACAGGUCACACUGGACUGUCAAUUUGAUGCAGUUAAUACUAAUGAUCUCUACCUGUUCUGGUACAAGCAUGAAGUAAAUGACUUCCCAAAGUUCAUGCUGGGACGUUUUUCUUUUGGAAGUACAAAUGCCACUGGAUAUGAAGAGAGAUUUGAUGCCCAUCUAGAUAAAGACUCAAAAUCAGUCCCCUUGACGAUCCAGAGGUUGCAGCUGUCUGACUCUGCUGUGUACUACUGUGCUCUGAGGUCCACUGUGACAACAGGAUAUACCACCCCCCUACAAAAACUAUAGGUUUCACAUGUGUACAUUGAAACAUACAGUACCACUGAAAAGUUGGGACAAAAUAACAACAUGUAUUUCAAUAUACUGUGUGUACAGUAGCCGACCUGAAUUAGAAACUCUGUGGGCUACAUGAGUGUUUGAACAUGAAUUAUAAUAUCAUAUCUGUAGGUUUUAACAACAACAAAAUAUAUCUUUAUUAUACUCACUUCAUGGAACAUUUGUGUAAUUGACAAUUGCUUUAGGCUACUUUUCAUUUCAUGACAGCAAAACGUAAGCUUUCACUUUGGUUAAUGUACUGCAAAGAGUGCUUACAACUAAUAUUAGCGAGGUAAUAUUUACCCAUACAUUUCCAUUCAAUCUUUCCUCUCUCUGAGCAGACUCCUCCUUCAUGUCUGUCAGUUGAUGGUGAUAUACAGGCUGAGAUGGACAUGGAAGAGAGAGAGAGGAUCUCUACCUCUUACUGUAACUCACAGUCACUCUCAGUGUGU